UACGGAGGAUGCAAGCGUUAUCUGGAUUUAUUGGGUUUAAAGGGUGCGCAGGUUGUUUGAUAAGUCAGUGGUGAAAGUCUGUCGCUUAACGGUAGGAUUGCCAUUGAUACUGUUGGACUUGAAUAUGGAUGAGGUAGGCGGAAUGUGUAGUGUAGCGGUGAAAUGCAUAGAUAUUACACAGAACACCGAUUGCGAAGGCAGCUUACUAAUCCAUCAUUGACGCUGAGGCACGAAAGCGUGGGGAUCAAA
rnacentral:rRNA from 1 species